AUUGAACGCUGGCGGCAUGCCUUACACAUGCAAGUCGAACGGUAACAGGUCUUCGGAUGCUGACGAGUGGCGAACGGGUGAGUAAUACAUCGGAACGUGCCUAGUAGUGGGAGAUAACUACUCGAAGGAGUGGCUAAUACCGCAUGAGAUCUACGGAUGAAAGCAGGGGAUCGCAAGACCUUGUGCUACUAGAGCGGCCGAUGGCAGAUUAGGUAGUUGGUGGGAUAAAAGCUUACCAAGCCGACGAUCUGUAGCUGGUCUGAGAGGACGAUCAGCCACACUGGGACUGAGACACGGCCCAGACUCCUACGGGAGGCAGCAGUGGGGAAUUUUGGACAAUGGGCGAAAGCCUGAUCCAGCAAUGCCGCGUGCAGGAUGAAGGCCUUCGGGUUGUAAACUGCUUUUGUACGGAACGAAAAGCCCCGGGUUAAUACCCUGGGGUCAUGACGGUACCGUAAGAAUAAGCACCGGCUAACUACAUGCCAGCCGCCGCAGUAA
rnacentral:rRNA from 1 species